rnacentral:misc_RNA from 1 species
GAUGAAGAACGUAGCGAAAUGCGAAAAGUAAUGUGAAUUGCAGAAUUCAGUGAAUCAUCGAAUCUUUGAACGCACAUUGCGCCCGCUGGUACUCCGGCGGGCACGCCUGUCCGAGCGUCAUUUCAACCCUCAAGCCCUCCUUCGGGAUGGGCCUGGUGUUGGGGCUCGGCCGCCAUCUCCGGCGGCCGUCCCCUAAAUACAGUGGCGGUCACGUCGCGACUCCUUUGCGUAGUAGAAACACCUCGCUCCGGAUAGCAACGCGGUCCACGCCGUAAAACCCCCAAUUUUCAAUGGUUGACCUCGGAUCAGGUGGGAAUACCCGCUGAACUUUAGCAUAUCAAUAAGCGGAGGA